GAUGAACGCUGGCGGCGUGCCUAAUACAUGCAAGUCGAGCGAACAGACGAGGAGCUUGCUCCUCUGACGUUAGCGGCGGACGGGUGAGUAACACGUGGAUAACCUACCUAUAAGACUGGGAUAACUUCGGGAAACCGGAGCUAAUACCGGAUAAUAUAUUGAACCGCAUGGUUCAAUAGUGAAAGACGGUUUUGCUGUCACUUAUAGAUGGAUCCGCGCCGCAUUAGCUAGUUGGUAAGGUAACGGCUUACCAAGGCAACGAUGCGUAGCCGACCUGAGAGGGUGAUCCGCCACACUGGAACUGAGACACGGUCCAGACUCCUAAGGGAGGCAGCAGUAGGGAAUCUUCCGCAAUGGGCGAAAGCCUGACGGAGCAACGCCGCGUGAGUGAUGAAGGUCUUCGGAUCGUAAAACUCUGUUAUUAGGGAAGAACAAAUGUGUAAGUAACUAUGCACGUCUUGACGGUACCUAAUCAGAAAGCCACGGCUAACUACGUG
rnacentral:rRNA from 1 species